CUUCACAACACCAGCACCACAGAUUGCACCAAGGCACUGCAUCACCAUGUAGAAAACAGCCCUGGUCAAGGACAAUUUCCUUGCCAAGAAAAGACCAAAGGUCACAGCUGGGUUGAUGUGUCCUCCUGAGAUACCAGCAGUACAGUAGACCAAAGCAAAGAUCAUACCACCAAAAGCCCAAGCAACCCCUUGAAUACCCACUGAAGAACAUAAACUAUCAGAUCUCUUAAGACCCAUAACAGUCAAGAUUGUGAUAUACAAGAACAAGAAAGUUGCCAUGAACUCUGCAAUACCAGCCCUG
rnacentral:misc_RNA from 1 species